rnacentral:lncRNA from 1 species
GCGUUCGUGCAGGAGAUCGGCUCGCUGCGCGCUCUCAACUUGAGCCUCUGCAAGCAGAUCACAGACAGCAGCCUGGGCCGCAUAGCCCAGUACCUCAAGGGCCUGGAGGUGCUAGAGCUGGGGGGCUGCAGCAACAUCACCAACACCGGCCUUCUGCUCAUCGCCUGGGGGCUGCAGCGCCUCAAGAGCCUUAACCUCCGCAGCUGCCGCCAUCUCUCAGACGUGGGCAUCGGGCACCUGGCCGGCAUGACGCGCAGCGCUGCCGAGGGCUGCCUGGGCCUGGAGCAGCUCACUCUACAGGACUGCCAGAAACUCACGGAUCUUUCUCUGAAGCACAUCUCGCGAGGGCUGACGGGCCUCAGGCUCCUCAACCUCAGCUUCUGUGGCGGGAUCUCGGACGCGGGCCUUCUGCACCUGUCGCACAUGGGCAGCCUGCGCAGCCUUAACCUGCGCUCCUGCGACAACAUCAGCGACACUGGCAUCAUGCAUUUGGCCAUGGGCAGCCUGCGCCUCUCCGGUCUGGAUGUGUCAUUCUGUGACAAGGUGGGAGAUCAGAGCCUGGCUUACAUAGCCCAGGGACUGGACGGCCUCAAGUCCCUCUCCCUUUGCUCUUGCCAUAUCAGUGACGAUGGCAUCAACCGCAUGGUGCGGCAGAUGCACGGGCUGCGCACGCUCAACAUUGGACAGUGUGUGCGCAUCACGGACAAGGGACUGGAGCUGAUCGCUGAGCACCUGAGCCAGCUCACAGGCAUAGACCUGUACGGCUGCACUAGGAUCACCAAGCGCGGCCUGGAGCGCAUCACGCAGCUGCCCUGCCUCAAGGUACUUAACCUGGGACUUUGGCAGAUGACGGACAGUGAGAAGGUCAGGUGAGGGCGGCAGUUCCAGUUACCCUGCCCCGCCCUGUUCAUCCCAGGACCACCACUGUUCCCGCACCCUCACGCGCGCACUUACACAUUCAGGGCAGUGGCCGCGAUGGGGCGAUGACGCGAAGCCUGGGCUCUUUUCUCCUAGUCUGGCGCCCCUCCCCACUGCGUCUGGGGUUCUUCUGCUCCCUCUACCCACUCUCCUCUCCUUUCGCAGUGAGUGGAGAGAUGGACCCUGCUGCUUCUCUGCCCACUCUUCUGCAGGGUGUGGAGACUUUCAGCCACCGCCAACUGUAUCCUGGGGCACUGCAUUUGGAAAUGGGGUGGGGGCGGGGAGGGACUAGUUUCAACCCCGAGGAGUUGAGGAAAGAUGUCUGCCUUCACGUAUACUUUCAUUUGGAUACUGUGAUCUGGCUUUUAUUUCGAAAUGUGUAGAAAGCAAGCCCGACUAAAGCAGCCUUUUCAUCCACAUUGUAGCCAGUCUCCUCUCAUCGCUGCCCUUCGGUGUCUGCGACUCACUUCGGUUUUGGUUUUGUUCUUGUUCUUUUUUGGUUUUGUUUUUUUAUCUGCUUUCCUUUUAAUUUUCAAAGAAUUUGAAAUCAUAGUCCUUUUUUUCUGCUGAGUAUAUUCUAUAUAUUCUAUAUAUAUAUGUGUCCUAUAUAUAUGUGUCUGGCUACCUCGUUUUAGUUUACUUUUUUCUCUUAAGCCCUGGAAUUCUACAAGAGAGAUAUUUUGAGAUUGAAACAUUUUUGUGCCUAGACUGGAAAGAUGCCCACUGGGUUUGUAUCUGUUUUUGGUUUUGACUUCUUCCUAACCUCCCUCUGCCCAGUGUGUUCACUUCCGCAUCCUGGCUAUGACUUUACCCCUUGUAUUGGGUUUUGAUGACCCAACCUUGUUUCUAAAGAUUGACUUAAUUUAUAGCACAAAUGUAUGGGAGGAAUGAGAGCAGAACUUCCUUUUCGUUUGUUUGAGAUGCAGAUUGAGUCUUGAAGAGGAAGGAGUAUUAUAUAUGCAAAUGACGUCCCAAUCCCACCCCUCUUCCAAGCCUUCCCACCAGAAGGUUACAGUGAGGCUUCCAGCCCUGUCUAGGAGCUCAGAGUCUGCAGAGAGCCCGAGGCUAUGUGAAAGGGAGGAGACUGAACUUCAUGUCUUAUCUGUGUUCUGUUCAUGAAAUGGGAGGAACGUGUGAGUUUGAAAAACUUUUGUUUCUAAAUGGAGGAAUAGAUGACUUUAUUUUGGUGGGGGGUUGGGACUGUGGCUUUAAAACAAAUGGCUUUUGAGUAGGAUGUAUAUUUUUGUUGGAUAUUUUGUUUGUUUAUUUUUUUAGAGUCCUCCACAGCAACAUGAGAGACCAUGGAGAAACCCAGAGACCUUUAUCAAUUAAUUGUACUGUUUGUGAAUUUGUAUAAAUGAUAACAAAGAUCCUCUUAAAACGUUUAUAUUCUUACAGUAAAAGGUUAAACCGAUAUUUAUAUAAUAAAAGAGGAAAUAUGAAGUAUGUUUUUGAAAAAAAAAAGCACAAAA